AAUAAAGAGCUGACACACCAUCUGCACUGGAGUAUUCGUCUUUACUAUAAUGAAAUAUGGGAGAUGGGCUCACUUUAUAGAGAAAAAAAAGGCAUUGUUCAUAGUGAGGAGACUGGAGGGCACGACAAUGAUCCCAGCACUGUAAAUCCAACCACACAGGCACAGAAACUGAGGUAUCCAGGCUGCGGGACUUAAUUGUGUAACUGACUGUCUUCUUACCCUGCUACCCGAGCUGGAAUCUGUUUCCUACAGGCAAGACCCCUGCAUGCUAUAUAAGCACAGCUCCCCAGAACCGGGACUUCUGCUAGCCCCAAGCUCAACAGCGGCUGCUGUCCACCACAGAGGCAUGUCCAGGUUUAAAACAUUUUUAAUGUAGAAUUCCAACUAGAAAAAAAAUAUUCUGGACUGGAGAGAUGGCUCGGUGGUUAAGAGCACAGUCUUCCAGAGAUCCUGAGUUCAAAUCCCAGCAACCACAUGGUGGCUCACAACCAUCUGUAAUGAGAUCUGAUGCCUUCUGAUGUGUCUGAAGACAGUUACAGUGUACUUACAUGUAAUAAAUAAAUAAAUCUUUAAAAAAAUAAUAAAAA